GUCCAUGGCCAUACCACCUUGAAUGCAUCUAAUCUCAUCUGAUCUCAGAAGCUAAGCAGGGUUAGCCUUGUUAGUACUUGGAAGGGAGACAGAUAUUCAGAAGAGACUGCUCAGAGACAAGCAGUUUGGAGA
rnacentral:rRNA from 1 species